UCAUAAGCAAGGCGUCUCUGGUUGCUUGAUGGGUGAUCUUUGGUCUCUUGGCCUAGCCUCUUGGAUUGGGGGUGCUUGAUGUCUUGUGUCGAGGGUUAUUGUGAGGAUUCACUUGGUAUAGUAGCAGUGUCAGUUUCUGUGGAUGUUGUGCAAUCGAAAAGUUUGGUAGGGGCGAUGAUGCGGUUGUGGGAUUACUUACCAUGUGAGUAGUUAGUCUGUGUUUCAUUUGUGUAGGUUUUCGCCCGUUUUUUUCCUAAAUUAACUGGGCAAUUCUCUUCUUAAUUAAUCGAUGAGAC
rnacentral:lncRNA from 1 species